GAGAAUAUAAGAUUCUAUCUUAAGUCUUAAUCCACACAUGAACACAGACUAAUACAAAUGACAACAUCAUGCACUAAUACAAAUUACUUUCUUUUUUUUUUUACUAAUACAAAUUACUAUACUACACCAUGCAUCUGAUUAAAAUACAAUAUUUUUUUUCGUAGAGAAGAUUGGUAUAGGAUCAAUACCCUCGAAAACGAUAGAUAUUAAAAGUGUUGAUGAUCAAAAAGCCAAUUGUGUAUCUAUGAAAAUCUCCUUGCGUCAAUGAAUUUAAUCGGUUCCCUCUUAAUGCCUUAUCGCGUCAUAGCAUGCACACAUAUAAUGCUUUAAGAAAGUUAAAAAAAAAAAAAAUUAAUAUAAAUCCUCUCUUUAGUAUAUAUAGUUUUAUCUUUUAUCGUUAUAACAGAUGUAAACUUAAUCUCUACCGUAAACCUCGCGAUAAUCAAUAGAUCUUUAACCCACACAGAAAAAAGAAACGUGAAUAUUUUUUCCCAUUAGAACUCUUGCCAUCAAAU
rnacentral:lncRNA from 1 species